UGCAUUUACGUGAUGAAAUAAUAGUUCAGAUGAUUUUGAGUGAUUACCAUAUUGUUUGUAUUGUCUUUCGCUCCUAUCUGAUCAAUCGU